UACGGAGGUGGCAAGCGUUGUUCGGAAUUACUGGGCGUAAAGGGCGCGUAGGCGGCAUGGCAAGUCAGAUGUGAAAGCCCCGGGCUUAACCUGGGAAUUGCAUCUGAAACUGUUGUGCUUGAGUUCUGGAGGGGGUAGUGGAAUUCCCAGUGUAGCGGUGAAAUGCGUAGAUACUGGUAGGAACACCCAUUGCGAAGGCAGCUCGCUGGACAGCACGUGACGCUGAGGCGCGAAAGUGUGGGGAGCAAACCGGAUUAGAUACCCGU
rnacentral:rRNA from 1 species